CCUACGGGAGGCAGCAGUGAGGAAUAUUGGUCAAUGGGCGAGAGUCCUGAACCAGCCAAGUAGCGUGCAGGAUGACGGCCCUAUGGGUUGUAAACUGCUUUUAUAAGGGAAUAAAGUGAGUCUCGUGAGACUUUUUGCAUGUACCUUAUGAAUAAGGACCGGCUAAUUCCGUGC
rnacentral:rRNA from 1 species